CCUCAAUUUUCUAAUUUUAUAAGUUGAAUGUUUUUAAAUUUAUUUUUUCAUUUGUAUCUUCUUCCUCUUCUCUCUUCUUUCUUUCUUCUCUUCAAUCUUCAAUGGUGCUCCAUUGGGGUUCCAUUGUUGACUUGGAAUUGAAUUGAAUACAAUUUCAUCACACACACACCAAAUAAGUUAUCUUCAACACACUUAAUUUAAUUACAUCAAUUUGACCUAAUUUCAAUAAACACACCAAAUGGGUCUUCUUCAAUUCUAUCAAAAUAGCAAAAUUAAACCAUCAUUGUCAUCAUCAACCAACCCACUAUUGGCGUCAGAAGGGAAUUUGUCGUCACAAUUUUGAUAGUAAUUGAAAUUUCGAAUUCUCAAGAAAUCCAUGAAGAUGAUUUUCUCAAAUUAUGAGUUUUUUAUUCUUUUUUUAGAAUGAUGCAUUUUGAAGUUUCUUGUAGUUGACAAUAGGAAGUUUCUGAGUUUUUGGUUGUUUUGGGAUAUUGGAU
rnacentral:lncRNA from 1 species